GCAGAAGUACCCAAGUGGCUAUAAGGGGCUCCCCUGCUAAGGGAGUAGACGGGUUAAACCGUGCGAGGGUUCGAAUCCCUCCUUCUGCGCCA
rnacentral:tRNA from 4 species